CCUCUCUCUCUGCCCUACUGAAGUCAGCGGGGUUGGCUCCGUUUGGAGCCCACUCCACACUGCCUGUGUGGAGUACGCGAUGUCACAUUGACUCCUGAAGAAGGACAUCCAAAAAUCAAUACCUGAGGAAGUUGACCUGAUCUCCAAAGAGAUAAGGCAAAUGACUGGUCAUUACCACAGUACUAGCCCCACAAAUUCCUGCAAAAACCCAGAAUGUCAAGAAGCAACGGAAGGGAUAAGUGGGUCCAAAGACUUCCCCAUCAGAUGAGGAGAAUCCCAGAGAAAGCAAGAAUAACAGAAGAGGAAGGCUGUACAACAGAAGUUCCCCUGGAGACCUCAAAGGAAGCUGCAGCAAAAUUGGAAGGAGUUGACAGAAUCUUUUGACUGUCUGAGGACUGUCAGGACUGUCUGACUGUCCUGACUCCCUGCUCUAUUUCCGUUCUGGGUAACCUUUAUCUGUUUCACUGUAAUGAUGAUUCUGUGUGAGGAUGUUAUUAAAGUUCUAUUCUAACCAA